rnacentral:tRNA from 1 species
GUAGCGAUGUCCGAGUGGUUAAGGAGUUUGACUCGAAAUCAAAUAGGCUGUGCCCACACAGCUUCGAAUCCUGCUCGCUGCG